rnacentral:rRNA from 1 species
UUGAUGACGCUGGCGGCAGGCCUACACAUGCAAGUCGAGCGGCAGCAUGUCCUUCGGGAUGAUGGCGAGCGGCGGACGGGUGAGUAAUGCCUAGAAAUCUAGCCCUUUUGUGGAGGAUAACCCGGGGAAACUCGGGCUAAUACUGCAUAAUCUCUACGGAGCAAAGCGGGGGAUCUUCGGACCUCGCGCAGAAGGAUGAGUCUAUGUCUGAUUAGCUAGUUGGUGCGGUAAUGGCGUACCAAGGCGACGAUCAGUAGCUGGUCUGAGAGGAUGAUCAGCCACACCGGGACUGAGACACGGCCCGGACUCCUACGGGAGGCAGCAGUGGGGAAUAUUGGACAAUGGGCGCAAGCCUGAUCCAACCAUGCCGCGUGUGUGAAGAAGCCUUAGGGUUGUAAAGCCUUUUAACAGGAAAAAAAAGCGCCGGGUUAACAGCCCCGGCGUAUUUGCCGGUCCCUGCAAAUAAAACACCCGGUUAACUCCGUGCCAGAAGCCCGGGUAAUACGAAGGGUGCAAGCCUUAAUUCGAAAUUCCUGGGCCUUAAAGGAAA